rnacentral:tRNA from 1 species
AAGACUAGAUACCUAAAGCCGCUAACUUUAAUCAUGUUUAAGAAACAUAGUCUUU